UACGUAGGGGGCUAGCGUUAUCCGGAAUUACUGGGCGUAAAGGGUGCGUAGGUGGUUUCUUAAGUCAGAGGUGAAAGGCUACGGCUCAACCGUAGUAAGCCUUUGAAACUGAGAAACUUGAGUGCAGGAGAGGAGAGUAGAAUUCCUAGUGUAGCGGUGAAAUGCGUAGAUAUUAGGAGGAACACCAGUUGCGAAGGCGGCUCUCUGGACUGUAACUGACACUGAGGCACGAAAGCGUGGGGAGCAAACAGGAUUAGAUACCCUGGUAGUCCCUGA
rnacentral:rRNA from 1 species